GACAGGAGGGCAGGAUUCGUCGUGGUCGGGCGAAUUAAUUCCAUAAAGUUCUAGCAGCCUUGAAGUCCAUUCUAAAAAGAAUGGCACUUUACAACUAUUUCUUCGGCAUGAAGGAAUGCCCGAGAAUCCUCUGGUGGCAGGUAUGCCCUUUCCGUUCUGGCCUGGGGGACGCCGAUUCAAGAAAGCACGACCCCUUGCCGAGUGCUGAGGAUCCCCUCACGUGUCAACAAGCAAGCGAACUGACAAAAGGGAUAUUGAGGAUGAAAAAACAACCGCAGGUUUAUUCUGGACGGACAAUAUUUCUUUUUUUCCUUCAUCCUUUGCAUUGAAAUAACAGAUUCAAAUAAAAAAAAGUUG
rnacentral:lncRNA from 1 species